GACGAACGCUGGCGGCGUGCUUAACACAUGCAAGUCGAACGAUGAACUUGGAGCUUGCUCUGGGGGAUUAGUGGCGAACGGGUGAGUAACACGUGAGUAACCUGCCCUGGACUCUGGGAUAACUUCGAGAAAUCGGAGCUAAUACCGGAUAGGACCUUGCACCGCAUGGUGUGGGUGGAAAGUUUUUCGGUUUGGGAUGGACUCGCGGCCUAUCAGCUUGUUGGUGAGGUAAUGGCUCACCAAGGCGUCGACGGGUAGCCGGCCUGAGAGGGCGCCCGGCCACACUGGGACUGAGAAACGGCCCAGACUCCUACGGGAGGCAGCAGUGGGGAAUAUUGCACAAUGGGCGCAAGCCUGAUGCAGCAACGACGCGUGCGGGAUGACGGCCUUCGGGUUGUAAACCGCUUUUAGUAGGGAAGAAGCCUUCGGGUGACGGUACCUGCAGAAAAAGGACCGGCUAACUACGUGCCAGCAGCCGCAGUAAUAC
rnacentral:rRNA from 1 species